CAUAGCGACUAUCGUGGCAUAUCAAUAAGCGGAGGAAAAGAAACUAACAAGGAUUCCCCUUAGUAACGGCGAGUGAAGCGGGAAGAGCUCAAAUUUGAAAUCUUCAAGGGUUUACCUUUACGAAUUGUAGUUUAAAGAAGUGUUUUCUGUUGGAGUUUCGGUAAAAGUUCUUUGGAAUAGGACAUCAUAGAGGGUGAGAAUCCCGUAUUUGACCAUUAUUUUCAGCUGUGUGAUACACUUUCAAAGAGUCGGAUUGUUUGGGAAUGCAGUCCAAAAUGGGUGGUAAAUUUCAUCUAAAGCUAAAUACUGGCGAGAGACCGAUAGCGAACAAGUACCGUGGGGGAAAGAUGAAAAGAACUUUGAAAAGAGAGUUAAACAGUACGUGAAAUUGUCAAAAGGGAAGCGUUUGACACCAGUGUUGUUUUCUCGAAAAUCAAUUAAAAAUGGCGGGAUUUUGUGUUGUAUUGACUUUAUCAGCUUUCUGCACUUUUUUCCUAUCUUUUUUAAUGCACUUUUCGUUUAACAAGUCAACAUCAAUUUCUUUUGUUGUAAAAGGGUAUGAGGAAGGUGGCUUUCUUUUCGGAGAAAGUGUUUAUAGCCUUGUACCUCUGCAAUCGGAGAGAUUGAGGUCUGCAGCGUAGAUCCUUCGGGGUUAGAUACAUUUGUGCUAAGUUAUAGCUUUUCAUAGACAACUUGUUGACUAUGUUAAGUCUUGUAGCUUACUCGCUUAUGCUAUUUUACCUACGCUUAGGAUGUUGAUAGUCACAGCGUGUAC
rnacentral:rRNA from 1 species